rnacentral:rRNA from 1 species
GAGUUUGAUCCUGGCUCAGAUUGAACGCUGGCGGCAUGCCUUACACAUGCAAGUCGAACGGCAGCAUGAUCUAGCUUGCUAGAUUGAUGGCGAGUGGCGAACGGGUGAGUAAUACAUCGGAACGUGCCCUGUAGUGGGGGAUAACUAGUCGAAAGAUUAGCUAAUACCGCAUACGACCUGAGGGUGAAAGUGGGGGACCGCAAGGCCUCAUGCUAUAGGAGCGGCCGAUGUCUGAUUAGCUAGUUGGUGGGGUAAAGGCCCACCAAGGCGACGAUCAGUAGCUGGUCUGAGAGGACGAUCAGCCACACGUGGGACU